rnacentral:rRNA from 1 species
CUUUGCAGCCAAACCACCAUGUCAAUGCCAGAUCUCGGAAGCAAAGCAGGGUUGGACCUGGUUAGUACUUGGACUAGACUUCUUAGAAUACCAUGUCCUUAAGGA